rnacentral:rRNA from 1 species
UGGGGAAUAUUGCGCAAUGGGCGAAAGCCUGACGCAGCGACGCCGCGUGAGGGAUGAAGGUUUUCGGAUCGUGAACCUCUGUCAGAAGGGAAGAAACCGCACUGUGCUAAUCAGCAGUGCCUUGACGGUACCUUCAAAGGAAGCACCGGCUAACUCCGUGCCAGCAGCCGCGGUAAUACGGAGGGUGCAAGCGUUAAUCGGAAUUACUGGGCGUAAAGCGCACGUAGGCUGCUUUGUAAGUCAGGGGUGAAAUCCCACGGCUCAACCGUGGAACUGCCUUUGAUACUGCUUAGCUUGAAUCCGGGAGAGGGUGGCGGAAUUCCAGGUGUAGGAGUGAAAUCCGUAGAUAUCUGGAGGAACAUCAGUGGCGAAGGCGGCCACCUGGACCGGUAUUGACGCUGAGGUGCGAAAGCGUGGGGAGCAAACAGG